ACACGUUCAGCAUGUAUGCUAAAAUUGGAAUGAUACAGAGAAGAUUAGCACGGCCUAUGCGCAAGAGCAGUGCCUGGCACAUAGUAAGCACUUAACAAAUAC